rnacentral:rRNA from 1 species
CCCCAGACUCCUACGGGAGGCAGCAGUGAGGAAUAUUGGUCAAUGGGCGAGAGCCUGAACCAGCCAAGUCGCGUGAAGGAUGACGGCCCUACGGGUUGUAAACUUCUUUUGUCAGGGAGCAAUUGGGUCCACGCGUGGGCUUGGCGAGAGUACCUGAAGAAAAAGCAUCGGCUAACUCCGUGCCAGCAGCCGCGGUAAUACGGAGGAUGCGAGCGUUAUCCGGUUUUAUUGGGUUUAAAGGGUGCGUAGGCGGAAUAUUAAGUCAGCGGUAAAAAUUCGGGGCUCACCCCCGGCCUGCCGUUGAAACUGGCGGCCUCGAGUGGGCGAGAAGUAUGCGGAAUGCGUGGUGUAGCGGUGAAAUGCAUAGAUAUCACGCAGAACUCCGAUUGCGAAGGCAGCAUACCGGCGCCCGACUGACGCUGAGGCACGAAAGCGUGGGGAGCAAACAGGAUUAGAUACCCUCGUACU